rnacentral:lncRNA from 1 species
UGCAGCGCAGUUACCCGAAAGCAGAAGUCCGGGCAUGGGGCCAGCCAUGGGGCUGCUACUCUGUAGCCUCCUGCUGUUGGCUCCAGGGGGUCUGCGGCUCUCCUCCGGCCAGGUGCAGCUGGAGGGCUUGGUGGGUGAGUCUGUGUAUUUCCCUGCCCUGCGCCCUGUGGCCAGAGACAUCGUCCGUGUCCUGUGGUUUUCAGAAAGGCAGGGCACUCACAUCGCAGAGGCCAAACCCCAGGGCCAGGCAUUCAACGUCAAUUUCUUACCCAACUUCAGCAACCGGCUGGCGAUCCACGCCGGGAACCUCUCCCUGGAGAUCCGCCAUCUGCGGCUGGAAGACCAGGGGCCGUACCGCGCCGUUGUGGAUAUUGCCUCAGACCCUACCAAGCCCAGGGCCUUCUCCUAUGAGCUGUCAGUGCGAGAACGUGGGCAAGAGGGAGACAGGGGCAAAGGAGGAACCACGGACCCGCCAGGAGGCGGAGAACGGAGGACAUCGACGGGCCCCCCAGCAGAAGGAGCGCCCGUGACCACAGGCAGGAGGACAACGCUGGCAGGAGGGGAUGGGGGAGGGCAGGAGGGCGGUGAGAGCCAGGGAUCGUGCCACUGCACGCUGAAGGGUUAUGUCAUCGCGGCCGUCUAUGUGCCCCUCUGUGCCGUGGUGGCUAUCGUCCACGUGAAGACGAGGGGCUGACGGAAGAGCCGGGGUCCCUGGGUGACAGAAGAGACAGGGCAGCUGCUGGGGCAGGAAGGGCAGCCACCUGUCUGGGGCUAUCGCCUCUUUGUUCAUUCUCUGUAAAUACCCUCUCCAGUACCCCCCAGAAACUCCCUCCCAGUACACACACAUCCCUCUAGCACCCCCUAAAUACCCCCUCCAGUACCCCCCAGGUAUCGCCUCCAGCAUCCCCAGAAACCCCCUCCCAGUACACACACCCCUCCAGCACUCCUAAAUACCCCCUCCAGUACC